GACGAACGCUGGCGGCGUGCUUAACACAUGCAAGUCGAACGGAAAGGCCCUGCUUUUGUGGGGUGCUCGAGUGGCGAACGGGUGAGUAACACGUGAGUAACCUGCCCUUGACUUUGGGAUAACUUCAGGAAACUGGGGCUAAUACCGGAUAGGAGCUCCUGCUGCAUGGUGGGGGUUGGAAAGUUUCGGCGGUUGGGGAUGGACUCGCGGCUUAUCAGCUUGUUGGUGGGGUAGUGGCUUACCAAGGCUUUGACGGGUAGCCGGCCUGAGAGGGUGACCGGCCAAAUGGGGACGGAGAUACGGCCCAGACUCCUCCGGGGGGGAGGAGGGGGGAAUAUUGCACAAGGGGGGGAAGCCUGAUGCAGCAACGCCGCGUGGGGGAUGACGGCUUUCGGUUUGUAAACCUCUUUCGCCUGGGAAGAAGCGGGAGUGACGGUAAUGGGAAAAAAAGCGCCGGCUAACUACGUG
rnacentral:rRNA from 1 species